UACAGAGGGUGCAAGCGUUAAUCGGAAUUACUGGGCGUAAAGCGUGCGUAGACGGUUAUUUAAGUUCAGGUGUGAAAGCCCCGGGCUCAACCUGGGAAUUGCAUUUGAGACUGAAUAGCUAGGGUGCGGAAGAGGGAAGCGGAAUUUCCGGUGUAGCGGUGAAAUGCGUAGAUAUCGGAAGGAACACCAGUGGCGAAAGCGGCUUCCUGGUCCAGCACCGACGUCAGGCACGAAAGCGUGGGGAGCAAACAGG
rnacentral:rRNA from 1 species